CACGUAGGGUGCGAGCGUUGUCCGGAAUUAUUGGGCGUAAAGAGCUCGUAGGCGGUGUGUCACGUCGGCCGUGAAAACCUGCAGCUUAACUGUGGGCGUGCGGUCGAUACGGGCAUCACUGGAGUUCGGCAGGGGAGACUGGAAUUCCUGGUGUAGCGGUGAAAUGCGCAGAUAUCAGGAGGAACACCGGUGGCGAAGGCGGGUCUCUGGGCCGAUACUGACGCUGAGGAGCGAAAGCGUGGGGAGCGAACAGG
rnacentral:rRNA from 1 species